CACGAUAUGAUUGAAAUACUGACGAAAAUAUUAAUGAAAUUAUAGAAUCAAACAUAUCAAAAAAUACAGUUUAUAGUAAAAAAUUUGUAGGGAAAGUAUUUAUGAACUUUUAGAAUGAUAGAAAGUGUCAUUUAGAUGGAAUUCGGACGGCGAAAGAAUUGACAUUGAUUUUAAAGAAUUAGGCAGUGAUGAUGAUACAGAGUUCAAAACCAUGUGAAACCUAACAGAAGGACGUUUUGCCCGCCAUUCUAUACGAUGAAAACUGCAAUCAAAUCCCUGAAGAAGAAAACAAAGUUCGAUAGCAUCAAGCUCUGUAUAAAUAACGAAAAUGAAAGAUUUAUGGAAUUAAAUAUACUAUCACAUAGCAGCAGUACAAUUAGUUUGACUAGAUGAGGAAGCUGCUGCUUGCUUGACUGGCUUUUUUGUAUGGAAUAAAAAACGAUGGUUCUGUUACAAAUCGAGUUGAGUAUAUGUAUUCAGCAAGACUUAUCAAAGUGGUUCAAGAAUGUGUGCUGGAAUAAAAUUUUUAAUAGAAAAUGAGGACAACAACGUUUGUCAUGCCAGAUUAUUUCAAAAAUUGAUGCCAAAAAGGGGGCCAAAUAUUAAAAUCAAGAGAUUAAUCCUACGAAUAAAUCGUCUCUGGAAUUUCAAAAAUGAUCACUAGUAUGAAAAUAUGCCCAUUGUAAGAAGUACUAUUCAAAAUUGGACAAAAUCGUAUGCCGAAGCAAUUGGUUUGAAUACCAAGGAGAAAAAAUUACUAAUGACUUCACUAAAUCCACAGCUGUUAACCGAUUGGUCGAAAAUGGUGUACAAAAACAAGAGCUUGUAAAAAUUACGGGUCACAACAAUGCAAACUGAAUAAACACCCUACUUGAAUGUUGACGAAGAACAUCAUAAUCAAGUUAAUAGCAGUAUGCAUAUUGGAAAUACAUCUUUCUCAGUUAUAGAAAAUAACACGUCUGGAUCUUCACUUAACUUUUCUAAUUAUUCUUUUUGUAAUUAUACCUUUAAAUGAA